AUUGAACGCUGGCGGCAUGCCUUACACAUGCAAGUCGAACGGCAGCACGGGGCAACCUGGUGGCGAGUGGCGAACGGGUGAGUAAUGCAUCGGAACGUGCCAUUGAGUGGGGGAUAACGUAGCGAAAGUUGCGCUAAUACCGCAUAUUCUGUGAGCAGGAAAGCAGGGGGACCGCAAGGCCUUGCGCUCUUUGAGCGGCCGAUGUCAGAUUAGCUAGUUGGUGAGGUAACGGCUUACCAAGGCGACGAUCUGUAGCGGGUCUGAGAGGAUGAUCCGCCACACUGGAACUGAGACACGGUCCAGACUCCUACGGGAGGCAGCAGUGGGGAAUUUUGGACAAUGGGCGCAAGCCUGAUCCAGCCAUGCCGCGUGAGUGAAGAAGGCCUCGGUUGUAAG
rnacentral:rRNA from 1 species